rnacentral:rRNA from 1 species
AGAAUCAACGCUGGCGGCGUGCCUAACACAUGCAAGUCGAACGAGAAAGUGGAGCAAUCCAUGAGUAAAGUGGCGACCGGGUGAGUAACACGUGACUAACCUACCUUCGAGUGGGGGAUAACCUCGGGAAACCGAGGCUAAUACCGCAUAACAUCGCAAGAUCAAAGCAGCAAUGCGCUGGAAGAGGGGGUCACGGCUGAUUAGCUAGUUGGCGGGGUAACGGCCCACCAAGGCGAAGAUCGGUA